rnacentral:rRNA from 1 species
UACGUAGGUGGCAAGCGUUGUCCGGAAUUAUUGGGCGUAAAGCGCACGCAGGCGGUCCUUUAAGUCUGAUGUGAAAGCCCACGGCUCAACCGUGGAGGGUCAUUGGAAACUGGGGGACUUGAGUGCAGAAGAGGAAAGCGGAAUUCCACGUGUAGCGGUGAAAUGCGUGGAGAUGUGGAGGAACACCAGUGGCGAAGGCGGCUUUCUGGUCUGUAACUGACGCUGAGGCGCGAAAGCGUGGGGAGCAAACAGG